UAUGGACAGCAGGUUUAAGAUUCCUGCACCCCUUGUUAUCAGAACUGCGGGGACACGGGAAGGGAAGCAGAGCCGGGAAUGGAAAGCCCGGUGCAAGCGAAGGAGUCGCAGGGUUGGAAAAUCCGCCCUGCAUAAGACGAAGGCGUGAUGCGGAGCGAAAUGAAGUAGUGAAGCUGCGGCCCCUUCCUGUCGAGAAAAGCCGCUAUCGUGUAGCAAGGGCCCGUACCGUAAACCGACACAGGUGGAUGAGGAGAGGAUCCUAAGGCCGGCGGGAGAAGUGUUGUUAAGGAACUCGGCAAAAUGACUCCGUAACUUCGGGAGAAGGAGUGCUGCGCAAGCAGCCGCAGAGAAAUGGUCCAAGCAACUGUUUAGCAAAAACACAGGUCUAUGCGAAACCGAAAGGUGAGGUAUAUGGGCUGACGCCUGCCCGGUGCUGGAUGGUUAAGGGGAGAGCUUAGCGCGAGCGAAGGUUUGAACUUAAGCCCCAGUAAACGGCGGCCGUAACAAUAACGGUCCUAAGGUAGCGAAAUUCCUUGUCGGGUAAGUUCCGACCCGCACGAAAGGCGAAUGAUUUGGGCACUGUCUCAACAACACACCCGGUGAAAUUGAAAUACCAGUGAAGAUGCUGGUUACCCGCGCCAGGACGGAAAGACCCCAUGGAGCUUUACUCCAGCCUGAUACUGGGAUUCGGUAUUGCAUGUACAGGAUAGGUGGGAGGCUAAGAACUCAUGGCGCCAGCCGUGAGGGAGCCGAUGUUGGGAUACCACCCCUGCAGUACUGGGUUUCUAACCUGCGCCCGUGACCCGGGCGGGGGACAAUGUCAGGCGGGGAGUUUGACUGGGGCGGUCGCCUCCGAAAGGGUAUCGGAGGCGCUCAAAGGUCUCCUCAGGAUGGUUGGAAACCAUCCAGAGAGUGCAAAGGCAGAAGGAGACUUGACUGCGACACCGACGGGUGGAGCAGGUACGAAAGUAGGACUUAGUGAUCCGGUGGCAUAAAGUGGGAUUGCCAUCGCUCAACGGAUAAAAGCUACCCUGGGAUAACAGGCUUAUCACUCCCAAGAGUUCACAUCGACGGAGUGGUUUGGCACCUCGAUGUCGGCUCACCGCAUCCUGGAGCUGGAGCAGGUUCCAAGGGUUGGGCUGUUCGCCCAUUAAAGCGGUACGCGAGCUGGGUUCAGAACGUCGUGAGACAGUUCGGUCCCUAUCCGGCGCGGGCGCAGGAUAUCUGAGAGGAGCUGUCCUUAGUACGAGAGGACCGGGAUGGACCGUCCGCUGGUGGACCGGUUGUCAUGCCAAUGGCACGGCCGGGUAGCCAAGACGGGAAGGGAUAAACGCUGAAGGCAUCUAAGCGUGAAGCCCCCCUCAAGAUGAGAUAUCCAUACUCGAAAGAGUGAGAGACCCCUUAAAGACGAUGAGGUAGAUAGGGCAGGGAUGGAAGUGCAGCGAUGCAUGGAGUUGACUGUUACUAAUCGGUCGAAAGCUUG
rnacentral:rRNA from 1 species